UUUUUUUUUUUAAGUAUAUGUGCUGCCGAAGCGAGCGCGAUCCGCGUCUUUUUUUGACCUAUCUUUGAAAGGCACACACCUUCACUUCUGUCACAUUCUCUUCCUUAGAAUCAGGCCCACGGUCAAGGAGAGAAGAAUGGAAGCUCCAGCUUUGGGAGGGAGGGAGAUUGAGGCAUUCGUGGACAUAUUUAAAACAAAACAAAACAAAACAAAAAACCACCACAAACAGUGUCCAUACUGGAAGACAGGGAAGAAAGCAAAAAAAGAAGGAAAAAUGAGACACUGAGACAGUGAGUAAUCCGCAAAUAGGAUACCCGAUCACUUUAUUAAGAGCUUUUCAUACCAUCAACCUGAAGUGAAUCUCUUCCAGAGUCUGCCCUGAGGAAGGUGUUUGCUCACUGUGACGUGAGCUUUGUCCCUUGGGGUGGCAUGGGUUCAGGGGCAGGGACCUGACACUGUGUCCCCGACCAGCCACACCUGCUCCGCAGCCCUCAGCCACGGGGUUGGCCCGUGCGACCCUGAGCAAGGUCAGUCGCCCUCUCUGAGCCUCCGUUUCGGGCUCUGGAUGAAAGGAAUGCCUGCUUCCCAGGAUCCCAGGAGUGACUGAACACGCUCUGUAAUCUAUGAAGCGUGGGGCCCUUGAGCAUUCUGCUCAUUGCCAUUUGCCCUGGGUUUUGGGUGAGGCCAGAUCCCACCAGAGGCUUUUUGUCCUCCCGUUCUGCCCAUCUAAUUUCCAACACACGGUGCUCAGGCACAGAGAGGAGAACCGGGCACAGAGGCCAAAUCCCAGCCUAGAAACAGGGGUGCAUAUUGUCAACGCCUCCGGCAACGGCACCCCACCCAGCCGAGGGAGCCUCGUUCCCAGCCCCACUUAACAACGCGCAGCCUGAUUUAAUAUGAGCAGCUGAUCUCAUUGCUUCCAUAGCAAGUUUAAUUUGCUGGGAAAGCGAGUUGGUGAAGUUCUAAUAAUGCAGAGCGGCAAAUAAUACCAAAGAGAGUUUGCAUUAUGAUAACUUUCCAAUUAAAAUGGAUUAAUGGAGAAGAAACGGCAGCAGUGGUGUCUAGACAACAUAUUACUAAAUCCUUGGAGAGGGAGAUGGAAGGGAGUUGGGGGGGACAAGAGGAAGCAAAAGGAACGGGGCACGUCUUGAGUUGGAGGCGCCCGGGGCGGUGUGUCGGGAGGUACCAGGCGUGAGCUCCUUGGCCCCAUCUGCUACAGAGCGCACGCUUUCCGGCAUUUGGGAGAACCGGUCUUGUAGGACCCAAAGGCCUUUGGUCUCUGGACCUCUUUAAUUAAAAUGCAAAUAGUGCCUUCAGGUUCCCCGGGCUGGCCUGUGUCGGGGAUUCGCCCGCAGCUACCUGAGAGCCCUGGAAGGCCCUGGCUAGGAGUCAGGAGACCAGCACAGACAGAUGGACGCGUCUGGGCUUCGCUGCAGGACGCGGAACAGUUCCUCCACAUCCGAGCCGAUGACCCUGAACCCUGACCACUGCCCAGUGAUCCAGGUCCCUUGCUGUCUGCAGAUGGAUAUGAAACUACGACUGAAAACACAUAAUUCUGGGGAUAAAGGAAAAUAUGAGACAAGAAACAACCGGGGAUAAAAAGAUCACCACUUCAUAUUCAACAACACUCCACUUCAUCCCCCCACCCACACACACACCCAGAACUGUGUCCAGGGCAGCCUUGAGGGGAAGGGUGAGGGGGGUCAUAUUCAUGCUGUGGAUCAUGCAUCAUAUUCUCAUUAUCUCAUUGUUGUCAUGAUCUUUCAGGCUGGAAAUACAAAUCCCCAUUUUACAGAUGAUGAAACUGAGGGUCAGAGUAGUUCACUUGCCCAAAGCCAAACAGUUCAUAAGUAUAAAGUCUGUUUGAAUCCAAA